CAGGGAGGUUCAUGCUGCAGGAACACUGGAGACUAGAAAAUAUCAGGGUUCUAUAAUUGUAGCACUUAGAGAAAGCAAUUGUAAAACUGGUCAAGGAAAGCCAAGUAAUUAUUUAGGCAAUUCAGACUUUUCCCCUCUUACUCCUUAAUGUUUUUCUUAAAAUUACCCAUGUUAACUGCUUUACCUCUACAGUGUACUUUGCCAUCAGUCUCUUCACAUUGAGUUUAUUUCCAUGUGUGAUUAAGAGGUGGGAAUUUUUGUUUUAUAAUAGCUAGGGAUUGAUGGUGGUAAUGACUGACUGAUUUGUGUCUCCUGAAUUGUGUCUCAAAUUCACUUGUUGAAGCCCUAACCUGCAAUGUGCCUAUAUUUGAAGAUGGAGCCUUUGAAGGGGGUAGCUAAGGUUAAAUAAAGUCAUAAGAGUGAAAACCUAAUCCAGUCUGACUGGCGUCCUUAUUAAGCAAAGAAAGAGACACUGUGGAUGCAAACACACAGAGGAAAGGCCAGGUGAGGACACAGGGAAGAGGCACCAUCUGCAAGCCAAGUAGAGGCCUUAAGACAAACCCAAUCUGCCAACACAUUGGGCUCUCAGCCUUUGGAAUUGUGAGAAAAUAAAUUACUGGGACUUAAGCCACACAGUCUCUGGUAUUUUGUUAUGGCAGCCUUAACAGACUAAUACAGGUGAUAGGUAUAUAAUAAAUGUGACCUAAUACAUAUUUCCAAUGCACAUAGUAAUUCUUUUUAUUAAAAAAAAUUCUUUUUUUUCCCGUCUUGGUAAUAAAACUGAUAUAUGUUUACUCUAGGUAUUUUAAAACAUACAAAAAUGCUCAAAACAUGUUAGAAAUGCUAAAGCCACUGUUUAGAAUAGCACUGUUAAUAUUUUAGUACAUAAUCUUUCAGGGUUUUUGAGAUAGGGUAGAGGGUAUGUGGGAUUGGAGGCAUAGGCCAAUUUUUGUAGGUGAGCUAAUUUGAGCUCCAAUUUAAAUUAAUAAAUAUGUUUCCUAUGUUUGCCUUCAAGCAAAUUGGAUUUGAAAACCUAGCUGAAAAUUAGGAAUUCUGUUCAAAUCUUGCCUAAGAAUGAAGCAAAAUAAUGAAGUAAAAAUAAUAUUGAUUUUGAUGUAAAUUUAAAGAAACAUGAUUAGAGAACUCUCUGUCCUCAACAAAAGAUGUUUAAUUGGCCAGAUCUUUAUUUGAAGUCCUGCAGUUUCCAUUUGUUACAUAGUCAAAUGCAGACAUGUCACUGUUUCCAAAAAAUGCUUCAGAUAGAGAAUAAAACCAAAGCACAUAUUUAUUUCCUAAAAUCAUGCUAUCAUUGAAAACUUUUAAAAAAAUUACUCACUGGUAAAGUUCCUAAAAUUACCAAAUUUUUGAAAUCAUGCCAAGGUAUUUAUAUACAUAAAUAUAUUAAUAGUUCUAAAUUCCAAUUAAUAUUUUAUUAGGGAUUCACUUGAUUAGGGAUUUAUAUGAUCCCAAACAGUAUACUAAGAAAAAACAAAAAAAGGAACUUUUGUUAUUUGGUAGCUACGAGGAACCUAAAUGACAAAACACAGUUCAGCAUUGAACCCAACUAUAUAAAACAAAUCUGUGAUAUGAGGACAAUAAUAAUGGUAAGGAUAAUUAAAAAUCAGAUCUCUCAUUACCUAUUUUAAGCCAAUAGUUUUAUCCUCCAAUCAAAUAAUCAUUUUCCCAGAGUUAUUAAAAAGGUACAAAAUGGCCUGAUUUGAAUUUCACUAACUUCUGGUUUUCCUUUAAUGACUAGAGAAAUAUUGUAGGCAAAACAAACUGGAUUAUUAGACUGAAUAAUCUAGUUAUUGAUAUUUUAAAUAUGGAUACCACUGUAUUAAGAUUCUCUUUUUUAUGAGUACCAUAUUCAAGCAACACAAUUCUAAAAGGUCAGGCUAUUCAACUAAAUAUGAAUCAAGACAACAGAAGACAAGACAGAUAUUUUGCCUGCUGUUCAUUUCAGAUUUGUAAGUGAAAAAACUCAUUAGAUCAAAUCUUCCUACUUUCCAAGCAAAUAAUGGUCUUAUCAAAUUUUUAUAUAUACACAGUAACAAACACAUUUAUACAAGUUUGAAGGAGAAAAAGUAGAAGCAGUUUUAAGUAAUCUCCAUUCAACCAAUUUACUGGGCUAAUGAUGCUCUCCAUCUUCCUGGAAAAGCAUACUGAUGGUUCCUAGGGCAAGCUACAUGUUUCCUGUUAAUACACUUCUGUCUGGCACACCCUUCGAUUUCUACUUGCUGCAAUCAGUGUAUGUUUACCAAGCUGAGUUGAGUUUGUUUCUAUAGUGGGUUGAAGAGUAUUUCUUAACAGUUCAUGUUCACCUGGAAGCCAAGAAUGUGAUCUUACCUGGAAAUGAUGUCUUUGCAAAUGUAAUUAAAGUAACUGUUGAGAUAAGAUCAUACUGUAUGUAGGUGGGCCCUAAAUGAGAGCAUGCUUGUAAGAGAUACACAGACACACAGAGAAGGCCAUGUGAAGACUGAGACAGAGACUGAAGUUUGCUGCUAUAAGACGAGAACACUUGGGCCACCAGAAGCUGGGAAGAUCAAGAAAGGAUUGAAGUCUUCCCUAGAGCCUUCUGAGGGAGCAUGGUCCUGCUGACACCUUGAUUUUGGACUUCCAAGGAGCAGAAAUGAUAUUUUUCAGAGAAGGGGCCUGUGGGCUUCACCAGAUUGUGAAAAGAUCCAUGACAAAGAAGCAUGGGAGUGCCCUGGUGAACAUCAGAGAAAUAUAUGUUCCAUGCCCAGCUUGGAGCCCAGUCUGGGGACUGAAUUUACAACCUUGAGAUCGUCAAUCCAAACAGGACAGCUAAAGAGUCAAGAUCAAGAGUUGGAUGCUUAACUUACUGAGCUACCCAUGAGCCCUAAAACCUCUUUGAUAUAAAGAAUAAUAUAUAUGUGUUAUAAAGUUAGAAAUACCUAGUUGAACAGAUUAAUUUCAUUUUUGACAUCUAGAAAUCUCAAGUGCAUGGGAGUGUUGGGCAAGGGGCUAUACAUUUGGGAAUUAUUAGCAUACAGAUAGUUGUUAAAGCAAUGGGGGAAUAUGAAAUUACUUGGGACAGCUGAGGAUGAAAUAAGAACAAAUACCUUAGAAAACUAAUGUUUGUAAGAAAGAAGGAUAAAGAGGAAACUAAGAAGAAAUAAUCUGAGAACGUGGAGAGAAAUUAGGAGAUUACGGUCAUGGAAGCCACUUGAGAAUAGAAUUUUAAGAAAGGCUUGAUCAACAGCGUUAAUUAUCAGAGAAUGGCCAAGUAAGACGAACAUUUUUGGCUGGAUUUGGCAAGAGAUCAAUGAUGACCUUUUCCAGAAGAAUUCUGUCGAGUGAUUUGGUGGAAACUGGAAUAAGAAAAUAUGUGGAAAUGGCUAUUGUAGAAAAUCAAGAGACUAGAACUUGAUGAAUCAUACAGUAGAUUCAGUAGCUGAGUUAAACUUCAAAUUUGCUGAUUUUUGUCAUGAUCAAGAAAAUAUAAGUGGAGACUAUAAUUCCUCCGAAAAUAAAAGUAGAGAAAAUGGUUCUAAA